GUCUUUGCGCUUGGGGCAAUGACGCAGCUAGGGAGGUGAAAUCCGAGGCGCGUCAAUUGCUGGUUGAAAACUAUUUCCAAAAACCCCCUUUUUGGCCUGGGCUCGUCCCGGUUGCCACUGAGAAUUUCUGGAAGGGCCCCCUUUAACCCAGGGUAAGGCC
rnacentral:snRNA from 1 species